ACCGGCUGAGGCGGGACAUCACUGCAGGUGGGGAUAGGCUGAGGUUCCGAGCCCCAAAAGAAACAUGGCCAGAGGAAAGGGACACAUACCAGAGCAAAUGGGGACCACAGGCAGCCAUUCCGCCUACAACAACGACAACAAUGACACCAACAACAACAAUGACAACGACGACAACAACAAUCGCCUACGGAUGCCCCAAUAUGAUGGUGUCAUGUGUGGAGCCCUCGGUGGAUCGGUGCCAGGACGACUCCGAAUGCGAUGAUGGGAAGAAGUGCUGCGAUUUCUGUGGGAAAGGCUGCUGGGACCCCGAACCAGUAGGCGACUGGUGGGGACGAUGACGAUGAUGAUGGGCACCUCCGGAUCUCACCUCCUGGGGCGCUGUUUCGGAGAAUUCUACGAUUGUUAAUGUCCAUGUCGAGUAAAAUCAAUAAAGUUAUUUGAUCAUCU